UAAAAAACGGGUAGAUGUAUAACCUAUUCUUCUAUUUCUGAUAGUUGAAAAGAAAUCUUUUUUCAUUGACCUGUGAAUACGAUGAAAUAGAAAAUUUCCUCGAAAUAACGGGCAAGAGAGUAAAAAAAAAAAGGAAAAAAGAAAACAGAAAAGAAAUGAGCAAACUUUACAAAAGUAGUUAUCAUUUAAUUCAUCAACGUUUUAAUCACGUACAUCACAACGAUGAGGAAUGAUCGGAAAAUUAAAAAUCGUUGUUACUCUGACCAAGGUUGCCUUACAUGAUAUUUAUCAGGAAAAUGUUUUUCCAAACAUAAUGUGUCUUAUCGGUCGAGGCCUUUUGUCAAUCGUUGAGACUCACUCGAAUUUUCGCGCAGUAAAUUUUGUAGAAACAGGAAACGAGUUUAGCUCAUUUAACGCCAACAGUUUUUAAUUCAAGGCUUAAAAUUUGAAACCAGUAAACGCAAAAGUCUUUGAUUUAAUAUUGUAAAAUUUCUCCAAACCAUUAAAUCAGACUAUCGAUUUUGGGUGAAAAUUUUUGAUAACUCAAAACUGACAUCUUACGUUCGAAUAUCCACACAAACAUACUCAUGGUGCCUUAACGAGUAAUAGUUAAUUAUCUUCUAGUGGCAACGAAACUACAUAGAAUAUUCGUAAAAAUUUAUUUAACAAACAAACAAACUGACAAAAAAAAAACAAGCAAACAGCAGCAACGAAAAUUACGAUUCUGCAGGCGAAUCGUCGGUUAGAAGCUAGUCAGAGUGUUAUAAAAUAUAUAUAUAUACGUAAUAGACUGCAGAAGGACACGUGUUGAACGAGUUUACGUUGAGAACAAUAAGAGGAUGUCUAGUCCUAUUAACUUAGCGUCACGUGGCUAAAGAUCGCAAGCUAAUUCUAACUUUAAUAUGAUAGUUUAAGUAAAAGCUUACUUAUUGUAUAGUCCGAACAGUAAAAAAAAAAAAAUUGAAAAAAAAUACCACAAAACAAGCGAAUGGAAGAAAACGAAAAAGAAAAA